rnacentral:rRNA from 1 species
GUCUGUGGCCAUGCCACCCUGAACAAGCCCGAUCCUGUGAGAUCUCGGAAGCUAAGCAGGGUCGGGCCCGGUGAGUAGUUGGAUGGGAGGCCACCUAGGAAGACCAGGUGCUGUAAGCU